rnacentral:rRNA from 1 species
UACGGGGGGGGGCAAGCGUUGUUCGGAAUUACUGGGCGUAAAGGGCCAGUAGGCGGCCAACUAAGUCCGACGUGAAAUCCCCAGGCUUAACCUGGGAACUGCGUCGGAUACUGGAUGGCUUGAAUUCGGGAGAGGGAUGCAGAAUUCCCGGUGUAGCAGUGAAAUGCGUAGAUAUCGGGAGGAAUACCGAUGGCGAAGGCAGGUCUCUGGGCUGACACUGACGCUCAUGCACGAAAGCGUGGGGAGCAACAGG